CAGCAGCCACGGGAAAACAGAGGGUGCAAGCGUUAAUCGGAAUUACUGGGCGUAAAGCGCGCGUAGGUGGUUUGUUAAGUUGGAUGUGAAAUCCCCGGGCUCAACCUGGGAACUGCAUCCAAAACUGGCAAGCUAGAGUAUGGUAGAGGGUGGUGGAAUUUCCUGUGUAGCGGUGAAAUGCGUAGAUAUAGGAAGGAACACCAGUGGCGAAGGCGACCACCUGGACUGAUACUGACACUGAGGUGCGAAAGCGUGGGGAGCAAACAGGAUUAGAUCCCCGGUAGUCCCUGUCUCUUAUACC
rnacentral:rRNA from 1 species